rnacentral:rRNA from 1 species
AGAGUUUGAUCCUGGCUCAGAUUGAACGCUGGCGGCAUGCCUUACACAUGCAAGUCGAACGGCAGCACGAGAGCUUGCUCUUGGUGGCGAGUGGCGAACGGGUGAGUAAUAUAUCGGAACGUACCCUAGAGUGGGGGAUAACGUAGCGAAAGUUACGCUAAUACCGCAUACGAUCUACGGAUGAAAGUGGGGGAUCGCAAGACCUCAUGCUCAUGGAGCGGCCGAUAUCUGAUUAGCUAGUUGGUGGGGUAAAAGCUCACCAAGGCGACGAUCAGUAGCUGGUCUGAGAGGACGAUCAGCCACACUGGAACUGAGACACGGUCCAGACUCCUACGGGAGGCAGCAGUGGGGAAUUUUGGACAAUGGGCGCAAGCCUGAUCCAGCAAUGCCGCGUGAGUGAAGAAGGCCUUCGGGUUGUAAAGCUCUUUUGUCAGGGAAGAAACGGUGGACUCUAAUACAGAUCACUAAUGACGGUACCUGAAGAAUAAGCACCGGCUAACUACGUGCCAGCAGCCGCGGUAAUACGUAGGGUGCAAGCGUUAAUCGGAAUUACUGGGCGUAAAGCGUGCGCAGGCGGUUGUGCAAGACAGAUGUGAAAUCCCCGGGCUCAACCUGGGAAUUGCAUUUGUGACUGCACGGCUAGAGUGUGUCAGAGGGGGGUAGAAUUCCACGUGUAGCAGUGAAAUGCGUAGAGAUGUGGAGGAAUACCGAUGGCGAAGGCAGCCCCCUGGGAUAACACUGACGCUCAUGCACGAAAGCGUGGGGAGCAAACAGGAUUAGAUACCCUGGUAGUCCACGCCCUAAACGAUGUCUACUAGUUGUCGGGUCUUAAUUGACUUGGUAACGCAGCUAACGCGUGAAGUAGACCGCCUGGGGAGUACGGUCGCAAGAUUAAAACUCAAAGGAAUUGACGGGGACCCGCACAAGCGGUGGAUGAUGUGGAUUAAUUCGAUGCAACGCGAAAAACCUUACCUACCCUUGACAUGUCUGGAAUCCUUGAGAGAUCAGGGAGUGCUCGAAAGAGAAUCAGAACACAGGUGCUGCAUGGCUGUCGUCAGCUCGUGUCGUGAGAUGUUGGGUUAAGUCCCGCAACGAGCGCAACCCUUGUCAUUAGCUGCUACGAAAGGGCACUCUAAUGAGACUGCCGGUGACAAACCGGAGGAAGGUGGGGAUGACGUCAAGUCCUCAUGGCCCUUAUGGGUAGGGCUUCACACGUCAUACAAUGGUACAUACAGAGGGCCGCCAACCCGCGAGGGGGAGCUAAUCCCAGAAAGUGUAUCGUAGUCCGGAUUGUAGUCUGCAACUCGACUACAUGAAGUUGGAAUCGCUAGUAAUCGCGGAUCAGCAUGUCGCGGUGAAUACGUUCCCGGGUCUUGUACACACCGCCCGUCACACCAUGGGAGCGGGUUUCACCAGAAGUGGGUAGCCUAACCGCAAGGAGGGCGCUCACCACGGUGGGAUUCGUGACUGGGGUGAAGUCGUAACAAGGUA